rnacentral:rRNA from 1 species
UUUUAUGAGAGUUUGAUCCUGGCUCAGGACGAACGCUGGCGGCGUGCCUAAUACAUGCAAGUCGAACGCUUCUUUUUCCACCGGAGCUUGCUCCACCGGAAAAAGAAGAGUGGCGAACGGGUGAGUAACACGUGGGUAACCUGCCCAUCAGAAGGGGAUAACACUUGGAAACAGGUGCUAAUACCGUAUAACAAUCGAAACCGCAUGGUUUUGAUUUGAAAGGCGCUUUCGGGUGUCGCUGAUGGAUGGACCCGCGGUGCAUUAGCUAGUUGGUGAGGUAACGGCUCACCAAGGCCACGAUGCAUAGCCGACCUGAGAGGGUGAUCGGCCACAUUGGGACUGAGACACGGCCCAAACUCCUACGGGAGGCAGCAGUAGGGAAUCUUCGGCAAUGGACGAAAGUCUGACCGAGCAACGCCGCGUGAGUGAAGAAGGUUUUCGGAUCGUAAAACUCUGUUGUUAGAGAAGAACAAGGAUGAGAGUAACUGUUCAUCCCUUGACGGUAUCUAACCAGAAAGCCACGGCUAACUACGUGCCAGCAGCCGCGGUAAUACGUAGGUGGCAAGCGUUGUCCGGAUUUAUUGGGCGUAAAGCGAGCGCAGGCGGUUUCUUAAGUCUGAUGUGAAAGCCCCCGGCUCAACCGGGGAGGGUCAUUGGAAACUGGGAGACUUGAGUGCAGAAGAGGAGAGUGGAAUUCCAUGUGUAGCGGUGAAAUGCGUAGAUAUAUGGAGGAACACCAGUGGCGAAGGCGGCUCUCUGGUCUGUAACUGACGCUGAGGCUCGAAAGCGUGGGGAGCAAACAGGAUUAGAUACCCUGGUAGUCCACGCCGUAAACGAUGAGUGCUAAGUGUUGGAGGGUUUCCGCCCUUCAGUGCUGCAGCUAACGCAUUAAGCACUCCGCCUGGGGAGUACGACCGCAAGGUUGAAACUCAAAGGAAUUGACGGGGGCCCGCACAAGCGGUGGAGCAUGUGGUUUAAUUCGAAGCAACGCGAAGAACCUUACCAGGUCUUGACAUCCUUUGACCACUCUAGAGAUAGAGCUUCCCCUUCGGGGGCAAAGUGACAGGUGGUGCAUGGUUGUCGUCAGCUCGUGUCGUGAGAUGUUGGGUUAAGUCCCGCAACGAGCGCAACCCUUAUUGUUAGUUGCCAUCAUUCAGUUGGGCACUCUAGCAAGACUGCCGGUGACAAACCGGAGGAAGGUGGGGAUGACGUCAAAUCAUCAUGCCCCUUAUGACCUGGGCUACACACGUGCUACAAUGGGAAGUACAACGAGUCGCGAAGUCGCGAGGCUAAGCUAAUCUCUUAAAGCUUCUCUCAGUUCGGAUUGCAGGCUGCAACUCGCCUGCAUGAAGCCGGAAUCGCUAGUAAUCGCGGAUCAGCACGCCGCGGUGAAUACGUUCCCGGGCCUUGUACACACCGCCCGUCACACCACGAGAGUUUGUAACACCCGAAGUCGGUGAGGUAACCUUUUGGAGCCAGCCGCCUAAGGUGGGAUAGAUGAUUGGGGUGAAGUCGUAACAAGGUAGCCGUAUCGGAAGGUGCGGCUGGAUCACCUCCUUU